rnacentral:rRNA from 1 species
CAAGCAAAACGCACUUAAAGUUUGACUCCCCGAAACUAGGUGAGCUACUUUAGAACAGCUCAUGAGCCAACCCGUCCAUGUAACAAAAUGGUGGGAAGAUUCUAAAGUAGAGGUGACACACCCACCGAACCCAGAGAUAGCUGGUUAUUCAGGAAAAGGAUCUAAGUCCAACUUUAAGCCCCCCCUAGUAAUUAUAAACACACCCGCAGCUUAAAAGCCAUUCAAAUAAGGUACAGCCUAUUUGAACAAGAAGACAAUCUAUAAUGCAGGGUAACGACUUCCCCGUGGUCAAGUAGGCCUAAAAGCAGCCAACUUCCAAAAAGCGUCCAAGCUUCCCCACCGCACAUCACUAAUUCCCCCACUUAUACCCAACCCGCAACCAUUACUGAAUAAUCCCAUACAAUUAUGGGAAAUAUUAUGCUAGAACUAGUAACAAGAAGAAGAACUUCUCCCUAAUGCAAGCGUAAGCCAAAAUGGACCCCCUCCACCGGCACUUACCCGCCCCCACAACAGUAUCAACUCAACAAGAAAACCAUACCACCCCAAACGUUAACCUUACACUAGUGCACUACCGGAAAGAUUAAAAGAGGGGGAAGGAACUCGGC